GAGAGAAUGUAAGGGGACCCCGUUGGUGUAAGUUGAGUUACAGAAUUCUACUCAAUUCUAUUUAAAGCUUUACGAGAAUCUUCAGUGCAACUUGCUCGCGUGUGUUUUCCGGAAGAAAACACUGAAAAUGGCGUGUAAUCCUAUUAAUUUCAUUAUUUGGCUUUUGAUUCUUCUAUUUAUUUCAUUUUUCGUCGCAGGGUUUUGUGCCCCUUUCUACAUUUUAAUUUACACCAUCUCAGCAUUUAUAAGUUCGCUAGGCGAUAUUGCAAACACACUUUUGAAAGGCGUCCAGUUCCCAUAUUAUUGCGCUAAGCAAAUGAUGAGCUGAUAAGAAGGAUGGAUGCCUCGAUAAAUGAACCACAUACUCAACAUCGUCGAUUUGGAAGUUCAUUAGAUAUAAACAUAUAAAAAACGACACAUAAGAUCUGUCUGAAAUUAUGUUUAACCGGAAGGAGUAUUUCUAUUCACGUACCUGCCAGGAACUUCAAUAUCAUUUUUCUGAUACUAAAGAUCACAAUAAGUGCAACCAAAUAAAAUUAAAAAUAUAUAAUUAAUAUUCAUAUCAGAUGUAAGCAAAGCCUAUAUUAAAGUCUAA